rnacentral:snRNA from 1 species
AUGCCUACUUCAGCAGCAUACAUACUAAAGUUGGAACAAUACAGAGAAGAUUAGCAUGGCCAGGGUGACACACAAAUUAAGUAAAAUGUUCCAUAGUUGU